CACGUAGGGCGCAAGCGUUGUCCGGAAUUAUUGGGCGUAAAGAGCUCGUAGGCGGUGUGUCGCGUCGGCCGUGAAAACCUGGGGCUCAACUCUGGGCGUGCGGUCGAUACGGGCAUCACUUGAGUUCGGCAGGGGAGACUGGAAUUCCUGGUGUAGCGGUGAAAUGCGCAGAUAUUAGGAGGAAGACCAGUGGCGAAGGCGGGUCUCUGGACAGUUCCUGACGCUGAGGCACGAAGGCCAGGGGAGCAAACGGG
rnacentral:rRNA from 1 species